rnacentral:misc_RNA from 1 species
GUGGACAGAGGGAUCUGUGAG